GUGGCGGUGGUUCAGUGAUAGAAUUCUUGCCUUCCAUGCAGGAGACCUGGGUUCAAUUCUCAGCCAGCAGA
rnacentral:tRNA from 1 species